CGUACUACGGCUGCGUCCUCCAGUGGUUAACAAAUAAGCACUGUGUCCUUCCAGGUUCAGAACUCCGGUUUCCGAUUCCGGCCCACAAGGAUACGCAGCCUGCUCCUGCACAUCGACUCUCCGGUCAACGCUCCAGAGGAGAUUACUUCGAGCACGAGCAACAGCCGCCCAUGAGCGACAGUGUUAUCCCUUCUACAUCCUCUCGCCGCUGUGGUCCUGCUGACAGACUGGACUUUCUUGCUCAUCCGGCACUGCUAUUGGUUCUGAACUCCGGUUUCCGAUUCGGCCCACAAGGAUACGCAGCCUGCUCCUGCACAUCGACUCUCCGGUCAACGCUCCAGAGGAGAUUACUUCGAGCACGGGCAACACCCGUUCAAUGAGCGACAGUGUUAUCCCUUCUACAUCCUCUCGCCGCUGUGGUCCUGCUGACAGACUGGACUUUCUUGCUCGUCCGGCACUGCUAUUGGUUCAGAACUCCGGUUUCCGAUUCCGGCCCACAAGGAUACGCAGCCUGCUCCUGCACAUCGACUCUCCGGUCAACGCUCCAGAGGAGAUUACUUCGAGCACGAGCAACACCCGCCCAUGAGCGACAGUGUUAUCCCUUCUACAUCCUCUCGCCGCUGUGGUCCUGCUGACAGACUGGACUUUAUUGCUCAUCCGGCACUGCUAUUGGUUCAGAACUCCGGUUUCCGAUUCCGGCCCACAAGGAUACGCAGCCUGCUCCUGCACAUCGACUCUCCGGUCAACGCUCCAGAGGAGAUUACUUCGAGCACGAGCAACACCCGCCCAUGAGCGACAGUGUUAUCCCUUCUACAUCCUCUCGCCGCUGUGGUCCUGCUGACAGACUGGACUUUCCUGCUCACCCGGCACUGCUAUUGGUUCAGAACUCCGGUUUCCGAUUCCGGCCCACAAGGAUACGCAGCCUGCUCCUGCACAUCGACUCUCCGGUCAACGCUCCAGAGGAGAUUACUUCGAGCACGAGCAACACCCGCCCAUGAGCGACAGUGUUAUCCCUUCUAUAUCCUCUCGCCGCUGUGGUCCUGCUGACAGAGUGGACUUUCCUGCUCACCCGGCACUGCUAUUGGUUCAGAACUCUGGUUUCCGAUUCCGGCCCACAAGGAUACGCAGCCUGCUCCUGCACAUCGACUCUCCGGUCAACGCUCCAGAGGAGAUUACUUCGAGCACGAGCAACAGCCGCCCAUGAGCGACAGUGUUAUCCCUUCUACAUCCUCUCGCCGCUGUGGUCCUGCUGACAGACUGGACUUUCCUGCUCACCGGCACUGCUAUUGGUAAGUGUCGUGUAUAGACGACUCGUAUUACGGCUGCGUCCUCCAUUGGUUAACAAAUAAGCACUGUGUCCUUCCAGGUUCAGAACUCCGGUUUCCGAUUCCGGCCCACAAGGAUACGCAGCCUGCUCCUGCACAUCGACUCUCCGGUCAACGCUCCAGAGGAGAUUACUUCGAGCACGAGCAACAGCCCGCCCAUGAGCGACAGUGUUAUCCCUUCUACAUCCUCUCGCCGCUGUGGUCCUGCUGACAGACUGGACUUUCUGCUCACCCGGCACUGCUAUUGGUUCAGAACUCCGGUUUCCGAUUCCGGCCCACAAGGAUACGCAGCCUGCUCCUGCACAUCGACUCUCCGGUCAACGCUCCAGAGGAGAUUACUUCGAGCACGAGCAACACCCGCCCAUGAGCGACAGUGUUAUCCCUUCUACAUCCUCUCGCCGCUGUGGUCCUGCUGACAGACUGUAUUUCUGCUCACCCGGUACUGCUAUUGGUUCAGAACUCCGGUUUCCGAUUCCGACCCACAAGGAUACGCAGCCUGCUCCUGCACAUCGACUCUCCGGUCAACGCUCCAGAGGAGAUUACUUCGAGCACGAGCAACACCCGCCCAUGAGCGACAGUGUUAUCCCUUCUACAUCCUCUCGCCGCUGUGGUCCUGCUGACAGACUGGACUUUCCUGCUUACCCGGCACUGCUAUUGGUUCAGAACUCCGGUUUCCGAUUCCGACCCACAAGGAUACGCAGCCUGCUCCUGCACAUCGACUCUCCGGUCAACGCUCCAGAGGAGAUUACUUCGAGCACGAGCAACACCCGCCCAUGAGCGACAGUGUUAUCCCUUCUACAUCCUCUCGCCGCUGUGGUCCUGCUGACAGACUGGACUUUCCUGCUUACCCGGCACUGCUAUUGGUUCAGAACUCCAGUCUCCGAUUCCGGCCCACAAGGAUACGCAGCCUGCUCCUGCACAUCGACUCUCCGGUCAACGCUCCAGAGGAGAUUACUUCGAGCACGAGCAACACCCGCCCAUGAGCGACAGUGUUAUCCCUUCUACAUCCUCUCGCCGCUGUGGUCCUGCUGACAGACUGGACUUUCUUGCUCAUCCGGCACUGCUAUUGGUUCAAAACUCCGGUUUCCGAUUCCGGCCCACAAGGAUAGGCAGCCUGCUCCUGCACAUCGACUCUCCGGUCAACGCUCCAGAGGAGAUUACUUCGAGCACGAGCAACACCCGCCCAUGAGCGACAGUGUUAUCCCUUCUACAUCCUCUCGCCGCUGUGGUCCUGCUGACAGACUGGACUUUCUUGCUCAUCCGGCACUGCUAUUGGUUCAGAACUCCGGUUUCUGAUUCCGGCCCACAAGGAUACGCAGCCUGCUCCUGCACAUCGACUCUCCGGUCAACGCUCCAGAGGAGAUUACUUCGAGCACGAGCAACACCCGCCCAUGAGCGACAGUGUUAUCCCUUCUACAUCCUCUCGCCGCUGUGGUCCUGCUGACAGACUGGACUUUCUUGCUCAUCCGGCACUGCUAUUGGUUCAGAACUCCGGUUUCCGAUUCCGGCCCACAAGGAUACGCAGCCUGCUCCUGCACAUCGACUCUCCGGUCAACGCUCCAGAGGAGAUUACUUCGAGCACGAGCAACGCCCGCCCAUGAGCGACAGUGUUAUCCCUUCUACAUCCUCUCGCCGCUGUGGUCCUGCUGACAGACUGGACUUUCCUGCUCACCCGGCACUGCUAUUGGUUCAGAACUCCGGUUUCCGAUUCCGGCCCACAAGGAUACGCAGCCUGCUCCUGCACAUCGACUCUCCGGUCAACGCUCCAGAGGAGAUUACUUCGAGCACGAGCAACACCCGCCCAUGAGCGACAGUGUUAUCCCUUCUACAUCCUCUCGCCGCUGUGGUCCUGCUGACAGACUGGACUUUCCUGCUCACCCGGCACUGCUAUUGGUUCAGAACUCCGGUUUCCGAUUCCGACCCACAAGGAUACGCAGCCUGCUCCUGCACAUCGACUCUCCGGUCAACGCUCCAGAGGAGAUUACUUCGAGCACGAGCAACACCCGCCCAUGAGCGACAGUGUUAUCCCUUCUACAUCCUCUCGCCGCUGUGGUCCUGCUGACAGACUGGACUUUCUUGCUCAUCCGGCACUGCUAUUGGUUCAGAACUCCGGUUUCCGAUUCCGGCCCACAAGGAUACGCAGCCUGCUCCUGCACAUCGACUCUCCGGUCAACGCUCCAGAGGAGAUUACUUCGAGCACGAGCAACACCCGCCCAUGAGCGACAGUGUUAUCUCUUCUACAUCCUCUCGCCGCUGUGGUCCUGCUGACAGACUGGACUUUCCUGCUCACCCGGCACCGCUAUUGGUUCAGAACUCCGGUUUCCGAUUCCGGCCCACAAGGAUACGCAGCCUGCUCCUGCACAUCGACUCUCCGGUCAACGCUCCAGAGGAGAUUACUUCGAGCACGAGCAACGCCCGCCCAUGAGCGACAGAGUUAUCCCUUCUACAUCCUCUCGCCGCUGUGGUCCUGCUGACAGACUGGACUUUCCUGCUUACCCGGCACUGCUAUUGGUUCAGAACUCCUGCUUCCGAUUGCGGCACACAGAUACCUAGCCCGCUCCUGCACAUUGACUCUCCGGUCAACGCUGCCGAAGAGAUUACUACGAGCACCAGUCGUCCUGUGACCGACCAUGUUUGCAUUUCGCCAUUCUCUCGCCGAUGGCCUCCUGCUGGCAUAUUGGACUUAGCCUGGCGCCCUUGCACGACUGUUCUACGACUGUUUUCAAAUGACCAACAAACAGUCCUUGUGUCGUUUCAGGUUACUGGCGUUUGUUAUCGCUUGUGGCACAAGAGCAAUGCUUAAGCAUGCUCAUUUACGAGAACACUCCUGUCCUUACCUCAAGAGUGACCAUCUUCCGACCGAUCUCUACAGAACGCUUCUUCUGGUCUAUGAAAAGCGUCGUGCGCCUCCGUCUUGGCGGUACUGUACUGUGUUGGUGGCCGGUUAAUGUUCUGAAGGACAGCGUGUCAUCGCCGUCCCACCGCUGUAUGUCGGAUGUAGUCCUACAGUUCUUCGUUCUUGCCUUUAACGCAGGAAUAUUUAACAAGAUUAGUAUAGCAAGCUUUUCUGCUUUGAGAGUGGUACGUUGCUCAGGGAAUGAAUGGCCGUUCUAGCAGUUAGGUUAAUACGAAGCAAAACAUUAAAACGGUCUGGUUAUGGACACCACUCAGUUUUUCAUAAUUGUUGAUGUCUUCAUGAGCUGAUCUGUAAAUUUUUGGUGGUGAGAGUAAUGGACAUUCAUUCACAUUGUGCACUUUCGUAGUACGUUGGGGUGUGUGUGUGUGUGUGUGUGUGUGUGUGUGUGUGUGUGUGUGUGUGUGUGUGUGUGUGUGUGUGUGUGUGUGUGUCUGUCUGUCUGUCUGUCUGUCUGUCUGUGUGUGUGUGUGUGUGUGCUACCCGUCUGCGCGAGUUUUUAUUUCGUAUGUGCACACCCAUUCUGCGCUCCUUUUGUUCGGUCGAGAAGGGAUGUAUGAGAGAGCUUCGCUGCUAUUCGGCGCACUUCAAGUUCGUUAUGUUUCGGUAGAAUAUCCGGUGUCACCGUUGUAUCCACAAAAGCCGUUGAUAGUUCAUUUCCCCCGGUGCAUCCCGGUUGAGAGGUGCCUGGUUUGAUGGUUUACUAUCGUCUAUGAACAUCCGCUUUCGAUUGGUUGCACCACUUGUUUGUUUAGCUUUUGCCCUUGUGUUGAUCUCGGUGCUCGUUUAAGCAUUCCGCAAAUUUGUUCAGGGAUCUUUCUCGUAUCGAAAACGAAGGCUUCAUAUACAUUCUCGGUUUUCCAUUCUCGGUUCUUCCACGUCGCUCGUCACCUGCUCAACAGAUCUGCAUGCCACUACAAAAGCAAACAGUGUCAAUGAAUGGGAAAGGUAGCUACUCUCGCCAACAAAAAAUGCCUGAUUGGCUCAUGAUGGUAAUGACGUCCAUUUUAAAACUGGUUGCUCGUAAAUGUCACCAUGCUCGCUGUAUAUAGCUUUACGAUGUGUCUGAAUCAUGAAAUGCAUUUGUGGAUGGGUGAUUGUAUGAAUUUAAGUGUUAUCUUUAAAGUAGCGUUGUUCGGAGGCCGUAUGCGUCGUCUCCGUUACUCAACGACCCGUAAAAAAAUGCGGUUCGUAAGAUCUGUGAACCGUGGAACCUCCCACAAAUUUGUUGACAUUGUAAAUGCAAGUGUCGGAGCCGCUUACUGCUCUUCGACAAGGCAGAGCAGCAUGUAUCACUACUUGGUCUAACUUUUGUAUUUCCCGUCGUUUGUUCACCCACUGUCGCCGCUUGUUCAUGGCGUAUACUGUGCCGUAUUGGCGCCGUGGUUUGAUUGGGAUUUGUGUGCAUAAAUGUCAAGUUCUGCGCAAGGUCAUCAGGAACAGUGAACCGCCCAGUGAACGCUUGACGUGGCUCUGACGUCGUUUCCUGCUGACUGUAGUUGAUUGUACGCCACCGUUGGAGAGGUGGCGUACAACGCUUAUUCAUUUAAGAUAAUUCAAAUAGGUUCAAGCUGUAAAAGAUUUCAUACAAAUAAAGCCGUAAGAAGUGCACUAUUCCUUGCGCCUUGGGUUAUGCUGUUAUUUUCGCUUUUACUUCUGUUGUAUGAAAAACGCGUUGUUUUCCAUUUUUACAUAAAAGUAUCUUGAAGCUGAGAAAUCCUGUGUGCUAUGUAAAUCCCGCUAUGUAUUUGAUAUUUAUUUGUACACAAAUGCAUAAAUGUGUAUGCUCAUUCUAUGUAUGUUAAUUCACUGCACUGCAUGCUGCGGUCAGCAACACGGGAGAUGAAUUCUAGUCACGCGGCAUUGAUUCUCUUUCAGUUUUGUUUACAUUCGUGUUCUGUGCUGAUUGUACUGAGCUUGCAUUGCAUUAAACUGCACCUUGCAAAUCUUGUCA
rnacentral:lncRNA from 1 species